UUGGAUGUAGUCGCAUUAAUUUAUAUGUGUUGGAGUGGAUUGGAGUGAGACUUAAACUAAAUUCCACCUCAAUCAACUCCAACACAUAUGGAUUGAAGUGAAUACGACA
rnacentral:pre_miRNA from 1 species